ACGCUAGCUACAGGCUUAACACAUGCAAGUCGAGGGGCAGCAUGGUCUUAGCUUGCUAAGACUGAUGGCGACCGGCGCACGGGUGAGUAACACGUAUCCAACCUGCCGUCUACUCUUGGACAGCCUUCUGAAAGGAAGAUUAAUACAAGAUGGCAUCAUGAGUCCACAUGUUCACAUGAUUAAAGGUAUUCCGGUAGACGAUGGGGAUGCGUUCCAUUAGAUAGUAGGCGGGGUAACGGCCCACCUAGUCUUCGAUGGAUAGGGGUUCUGAGAGGAAGGUCCCCCACAUUGGAACUGAGACACGGUCCAAACUCCUACGGGAGGCAGCAGUGAGGAAUAUUGGUCAAUGGGCGAGAGCCUGAACCAGCCAAGUAGCGUGAAGGAUGACUGCCCUAUGGGUCGUAAACUUCUUUUAUAAAGGAAUAAAGUCGGGUAUGCAUACCCGUUUGCAUGUACUUUAUGAAUAAGGAUCGGCUAACUCCGUGCCAGCAGCCGCGGUAAUACGGAGGAUCCGAGCGUUAUCCGGAUUUAUUGGGUUUAAAGGGAGCGUAGAUGGAUGUUUAAGUCAGUUGUGAAAGUUUGCGGCUCAACCGUAAAAUUGCAGUUGAUACUGGAUAUCUUGAGUGCAGUUGAGGCAGGCGGAAUUCGUGGUGUAGCGGUGAAAUGCUUAGAUAUCACGAAGAACUCCGAUUGCGAAGGCAGCCUGCUAAGCUGCAACUGACAUUGAGGCUCGAAAGUGUGGGUAUCAAACAGGAUUAGAUACCCUGGUAGUCCACACGGUAAACGAUGAAUACUCGCUGUUUGCGAUAUACAGCAAGCGGCCAAGCGAAAGCGUUAAGUAUUCCGCCUGGGGAGUACGCCGGCAACGGUGAAACUCAAAGGAAUUGACGGGGGCCCGCACAAGCGGAGGAACAUGUGGUUUAAUUCGAUGAUACGCGAGGAACCUUACCCGGGCUUAAAUUGCAGAUGAAUUACGGUGAAAGCCGUAAGCCGCAAGGCAUCUGUGAAGGUGCUGCAUGGUUGUCGUCAGCUCGUGCCGUGAGGUGUCGGCUUAAGUGCCAUAACGAGCGCAACCCUUGUUGUCAGUUACUAACAGGUCCUGCUGAGGACUCUGACAAGACUGCCAUCGUAAGAUGUGAGGAAGGUGGGGAUGACGUCAAAUCAGCACGGCCCUUACGUCCGGGGCUACACACGUGUUACAAUGGGGGGUACAGAGGGCCGCUACCACGCGAGUGGAUGCCAAUCCCCAAAACCUCUCUCAGUUCGGACUGGAGUCUGCAACCCGACUCCACGAAGCUGGAUUCGCUAGUAAUCGCGCAUCAGCCACGGCGCGGUGAAUACGUUCCCGGGCCUUGUACACACCGCCCGUCAAGCCAUGGGAGCCGGGGGUACCUGAAGUGCGUAACCGCGAGGAGCGCCCUAGGGUAAAACUGGUGACUGGGGC
rnacentral:rRNA from 1 species